AAAUUGUAUUAUUCCAUAAAUUAUAUUUAUAGUUGUUGCUUAUAGGAAUUUCUUGAAUUAUAAAGUGCCAGCAUUCGCGGUCAUACUUUAAAGAAAUUUAAGUUUUCUUUCUAUUUAUUUUUAUAUAAAUUUAUUGGUUAAAAAUUAAUAGUUAAUCGGUAAAAUGUUAAUAUUAAUUAGACAAGAUAAAAAUAAAAAACUUAUAUAUGUAAACUAGGAUUAGAUACCCUAUUAUACUUAUGAAUAAAAAAUAGAAAGAGUAAAUUUUAUUUAAUUGAAAAUUAUUUGCAUGGCGGCUUUAAAAACCGAAUUAGAGAAAUAUGUUUGUAAUAGAAUCUACGCUAAAACCUUUCUAUAUAUUUUCUUACACACCGCCGUCGGAAGUAUAUAUUUAAAUUUAUAAACUUUUAUACAUUAUUUUAUAUAAUAAGUCAGGUCAACGUGUAGGUAAUGAUGUAGUAUUGAUGUAUUUCUAUAUAUAUAACAUAAUUAUAUUUAUCUUGUCUAAUUAAUAUUACAGAAUUUAAUUGUAAAAAAAAUAAAAAUAUUUUCUUGAAAUUGGCUCUUUAAAGUGUACAAAUUGCCCGUCAAUCUAUAAAAGGAUAAGUCGAAACAAAGUUGAUUUACUGGAAAGUGAAUCAAGUCUAAU
rnacentral:rRNA from 1 species